rnacentral:sRNA from 1 species
UGGAUUGCAUUUUUAAAGCUGUAGCUAUUCAUGCAACAGGUACUACAUAAGGAGGAACAGAAAAACCUUUCCCAUUCUGUCAGGCCAUUGUGGUUCCACCCUGACCUAAAAGGGGCCACUUCUGGAGACGAGAAAGUACUUCAGUCUCUGAGCCUCAUUCAAUUUCAAUCCGCU